UCGUUUCGAUCGAAGGAAAGAACGAAUUCACCGAUAAAUUUUUCCAUCGACGCGAGCGAAACCGAUGGCCGAGCCGGUAUUUCGAGUAUUUAACGAAGCUCGGAAGCUUUUUCCACGCUCGUUCAGAAAGCGUUUAAAGCGUUCUCGACCCAGCGCCCCGGGAGCGUUAAUGGGUUAAGAACGAGUCUUCUGGACCUCCACGUUUCCAUUCCACGUUUCAUAUUCGACUUUCUCUAAUGGCCUCUCGAAAUGUAUACGCGCGAUUCGAUUCGGUCGAUCCACACGAUCGAUCGCUGCGUACACACAGGUACAGUUACCAGAGCGUGCACGGCCCCGAAUUCAAUCCCAUUCGAUGCGUGUCUUCACGGUUUCAAUGCGCACUUGGACCCGUGCGCGCAUCGGUAUUAUAUCGAUUCGUGGCCUCGUAUGGAUCCUGCUCGAGAUCGUCUGCGGGAUACACGUAUCCGAAUACGGAAACGUAGCCGCAUGCCAAUAAUCCCCGGAUCUGUUAUCAUCGGUGUAAUUGGCAUUCGGCCGGAAAUUUUCAUCAGAUGAAUGGCCAUCGUUUCUUUUGACGCCGCCCGUGACCGACCAACUGUGCGCCAUCGUUGCACACACACACUCCUCCUUUCCCCUUCCCUCUCCCCCACCAUUUUCAAGGUUUCGCCUCUCGCCC